UAUCUAUAAUAAUAUUCAAGAUAAUAACCAAAAACAGCAAAAUUUCCUUAAAAUUACCAAUUCAGGGGCAGCAACCCAACAACAGGUUGUCUGAUUCAUUUGAAAAUUUCAGGGAAAAUAGAUCUUGACCUGAUAAAAUUUUUCACCCAUGUCAGAUUUGCUCUAAAUGCUUUGGUUUUUGAGUUAUAAGCCAAAAACUGCAUUUUACCCCUAUGUUCUAUUUUUAGGCGUGGCGGCCAUCUUGGACAGUUGGCCGGGUCACCGGACACAUUUUGUAAACUAGAUACCCCAAUGAUGAUUGUGGCCAAGUCUGGAUUAAUUUGGCCCAGUAGUUUCAGAGGAGAAGAUUUUUGUAAAAGAUUACUAAGAUUUACGAAAAAUGGUUAAAAAUUGACUAUAAAGGGCAAUAACUCCUAAAUUGGUCAACUGACCAUUUU
rnacentral:lncRNA from 1 species